AAAGAGAGAAAUGAGGGAGAGGGAGAGAGAGAGAGAGAGAAGACAAGAAUUAGAAAUUUGGAGGUUAAAAGAUAAGAUUAGGAAAUGAAAAUGAGAUGUUAGGAGUAAAAGUGGACAAUAGUCCCCUUACAUGGAUUUGUGGUCAUCCAUACUAUAGCCAUGACCAUUGACCUCUUUCUAGCUACUCAAUAAUUUUCCCUCCUCUCUCUCUCUCUCCAUCUCUCCCUCUCCUUCUCUCUCUCUCUUG